GGUGCCUACGGGGCGCAGCAGUGAGGAAUAUUGGUCAAUGGUCGGGAGACUGAACCAGCCAAGCCGCGUGAGGGAUGAAGGUACAGAGUAUCGUAAACCCCUUUUGUCAGGGAACAAAGGCGGGGACGUGUCCCCGGAUGAGUGUACCUGAAGAAAAAGCAUCGGCUAACUCCGUGCCAGCAGCCGCGGUAAUACGGAGGGUGCGAGCGUUAUCCGGAUUUAUUGGGUUUAAAGGGUGCGCAGGCGGUCUGUUAAGGCAGCGGUCAAAGCCCGGGGCUCAACCCCGGUCCG
rnacentral:rRNA from 1 species